UUUCUUCGAAGCCUGCUGUGUUCUUACUCUGCUCACUCAUUUCAGAACCAGAUAUGUGCUAUUUAAUGAAAGUGUGCAUGAGUAUUUAUGUCUAAUUUAUCUCUAAUUUAUCUCUAAUCUUAACUAGAUCAAUUAAUCUUCGUGUCUGGCUGGAAUAUUUAACCACAUAAUCCAUCCCACCACCCCAACUGUAAGGAAGCACCAUGGAGGGUUGUCAGAUGUCCUGUUCAUUUUAUGGGUGCAAGAGGACUUACAACAGUCCAGAGGCACUGAAUAGUCAUCAGCAAGACCAUCAAAAGAACACCGCCCAGUCUCUUCCUGGGAAAUUUUUUCUCUGCUCUUCAAUAGGAUGUGAUGGCUCCUUCAGCAACAUGCAGCAGCUCAUGGAGCAUAUGAGGCACCACCAUAAGCCAAAUUAUUAUUUUCUGUGCGAAAGCUGCAAGGCCAAACUACGCUCUUACCGUACCCUUCUUAAACACCUGCAAACAUGUGCUAAGGUUGCCAAGAACAAGGCUGCAAAGACAGAGACUGGAAUGGCACCUGAUGCAGAGCCCACUGGUGUUUCACUCACUGCUGGUGACAUGGAGUCAUCUGGAUCAUUCUUGGACACAAAUGGGCCAGAGGAGAUGGAGUCUAAUCCCUCUCUGACCACAUAUCCAACAACAGCUAACAUACCAGUGACCCAGCAGUCUCCAGCAAACAAUGUUUUCAUGAACCCCACCUCCGUAGGCCCUGCAACUCUGCCCCUUGCCACUGUUGAGCCUGCCUUAACCCAAAAUCUUUCCUAUCAGCCUGAAUCCCCCUAUAGUCCCUUUCCACCUGCUCUGUCUCCUGUUAACCCAGCCUUCCUGCCAGAUCCCAGCCUAAAGCAGCAGCGGACUCCCAAGUCUGGUCCUCCCAGUCUGCCCUCUUCACUGACACUGCCAUCAUCUCCAGGAUCAAAUGCAGUAUGGAGGAAGAACCAAGACCCGCCCGGGCCGCAUUUGCAAAGAUGGAACUCUCCGAGCAGGCAGAGUUUAAGUAGAGAUGAAGUCCAGGUCAGUCCUUCAACUUUCGUAUCCUAUGGGAACACACCAGAGGCCGAUACAGUUGCCUACAAUGCGGCCACUGUACCCCAGACAGAGGGGAGAUGACUGCUCACAUCAACUUGCACAAGAAUUCAGGGGGCAAAGUAAACAAUGAUACUGAUACAGAGGUUGGCAAUGGUUCCUUAACGGCCAAGGCUUCACCACACUCGGAAAACUCAACAUAUACACAGCUCUAACAUGAAAUGAGAUGCUAAACUUAAUGAUUGACAAAUUAUAUUUGUUGUAGCCUUUGAUACAGAGAGAGAAACUUAAAUGUUUUUAUUUCACUGACAAUGAGGACUCUUAGAAUUUCUAUGGUCUGGAACUGUACAACAAACAAUAUUCAAGCAGAAGGAGGGAAAAACUGCUGCAUAUUUCGUCUUCCCUAAGACAAUAUUCUCAAACUUAAAAUGUCUUGCUUGUCUUUUGUUGAAUAAUUUGGAAUAGCAUACAAUUAAUAUCAGUAUUUAUUCAGUUAUUGUUUUUUGUAUCUCUUUGGAGCAUGUUGCAGAUGCUUGUAUUCAGUUGUUUCUAGUGUAAAUAAAUAGCCUAUAGACAUCUUCAUCACCUGUUAUUGUAUUAGAAUGAUACAAUAAAUAAUGACUAUUUAAAAUGGUGCCAAAAUGUUUGUUUGUAUUAAAGGGAAAGUUCACCCAAAAAUGAAAAUUCGAUGAUCAUUUACUCACCCUCAUUGCUUUUCAUAUGACUUUAUUACUUCUGCAGAACACAAAUUAAGAUUUCUAGAAGAAUGUUUCAGCUCUGGUGGUCUAUACAAUGCAAAUGAAUGGUGAUUAGAUCUUUCCAGCUCCAAAAAAAUCACAAAAAGGCAGCAUAUAAGUAAUUAAAAUGACUUCAGUGGUGUCUUUAAAAGCUAUGUGGUGAGACGGAGGGAUUUAAAUAUUGAUCUGUUUCUCACCCAAACAUAUUUUAAACCACUGGAGUCGUAUGGAUUGCUUUUAUGCUGCCUUUUAUGUGAUAUUUGGAACUUGAAAUGUUUGGUCACCAUUCACUUGCAUUGUAUGGACCUACAGAGCUGAAAUAAUCUUCUAAAAAUCUUUGUGUUCUGCAGAAGAAAGUAAGUCAUACACAUCUGGGAUGGCACAAGGGUGAGUAAAUGAUCAGAUAAUUUCUUUAUUUUUGUCUGAACUAUACCUUUUCAGAUCAAUAGUUUAUGUAGUUUUUGCCACCUGAAAAUAAAACCUGU